rnacentral:misc_RNA from 1 species
UUGAUUGUGAAUUGUUGUCUUCAGUGCUGGCCCCCGGCAAGUGCACGUUGGUGACUUUCAUCCAAUACCCCUGUGAACUUCUGACCUCUUGCUAGCUUCGGCUGGCAGAGGAUUUUUUACACACACUCGAAUGUAAUGAAACCUAUUGUUGUGCGCAAGCACUAAUGUA